UACGUAGGGUGCAAGCGUUAAUCGGAAUUACUGGGCGUAAAGCGUGCGCAGGCGGUUUUGUAAGACAGAUGUGAAAUGCCCGGGCUUAACCUGGGAACUGCAUUUGUGACUGCAUGGCUAGAGUUUGGCAGAGGGGGGUAGAAUUCCACGUGUAGCAGUGAAAUGCGUAGAUAUGUGGAGGAAUACCGGUGGCGAAGGCGGCAUCCUGGACCGAGAUUGACACUGAUGAGCGAAAGCCAGGGGAGCAAACGGG
rnacentral:rRNA from 1 species